rnacentral:pre_miRNA from 1 species
CCCUUAACUAUUAAAAGUUUCGUUUUGGUCCCUUAACUUAUUUUUUGGUUUCGUUUUGGUCCCUUAACUCUUCCUCCGUCAACCACUUUGGUCCUUUAUGUUAGGAUGAAUGUAUUAGAGUUAAGGACCAAAACGAAAUAAAAAAAAAAGUUAAGUGACCAAAACGAAACCAAAAAAUAAGUUAAGGGACCAAAACGAAACUUUUAAUAGUUAAGGGACCAAAACGAAACCAAAAAAUAAGUUAAGGGACCAAAACGAAACUUUUAAUAGUUAAGGGA